UGAGAUAUGGUGUAAUGGCAGCACUAGAGAUUUUGGUUCUCCCAGUCCAGGUUCGAAUCCUGGUAUCUCAACCA
rnacentral:tRNA from 1 species